rfam:Picea glauca, whole genome shotgun sequence.
GUGUAUUCCUACAACAUAGAUUUAAUGCAUCAGAUCCCAUUAGAACUCUACAAUUAAGCACGCUUGGGCUAGAGUAGUACUCGGAUGGGUGACUUCCUGAGAAGUCCUAGUGUUUUACAUG